rnacentral:rRNA from 1 species
GUCUUUUUGAUAAUAAUUUAAAGUCUAACCUGCCCACUGAAAAUUUUUGAAGGGCCGCGGUAUUUUGACUGUGCAAAGGUAGCAUAAUCAUUAGUCUUUUAAUUGAAGGCUUGUAUGAAUGGUUGGAUGAGGUAUUAACUGUCUCAAUUUAAUAAAUAAUAGAAUUUUAUUUUUAAGUUAAAAAGCUUAAAUAAUUUUAAAAGACGAGAAGACCCUAUAGAUCUUUAUAUAUUAAUUUUUAAUAAUUUUUUAGUUUAAAUUUAUUUUUAUUUGUUAAGGUAUUGAAUUGGGGUGAUUAAAAAAUUUAGUAAACUUUUUUUUAUUAGUUAACAAUGAUUUUUGAAUAAUUGAUCCAUUUUUUGUGAUUAUAAGAUUAAGUUACCUUAGGGAUAACAGCGUAAUUUUUUUGGAGAGUUCUUAUCGAUAAAAAAGAUUGCGACCUCGAUGUUGAAUUAAAGGUUAAUUUUAGGUGUAGAAGUUUAAAAUUUUGGUCUGUUCGACCAUUAAAUC